UACGUAGGGGGCUAGCGUUGUCCGGAAUCAUUGGGCGUAAAGAGCGUGUAGGCGGCUCGGUAAGUCCGCUCUGAAAGCCCGGGGCUCAACCCCGGGAGGCGGGCGGAUACUGUCGAGCUAGAGUCCGGAAGAGGCGAGUGGAAUUCCUGGUGUAGCGGUGAAAUGCGCAGAUAUCAGGAGGAACACCGGUGGCGAAGGCGGGUCUCUGGGCAGUUACUGACGCUGAGGAGCGAAAGCGUGGGGAGCGAACAGG
rnacentral:rRNA from 1 species